rnacentral:rRNA from 1 species
AGAGUUUGAUCCUGGCUCAGAAUCAACGCUGGCGGCGUGCCUAACACAUGCAAGUCGAACGAGAAAGUGGAGCAAUCCAUGAGUACAGUGGCGACCGGGUGAGUAACACGUGACCAACCUGCCCUCGAGUGGGGAAUAACUCCGGGAAACCGGAGCUAAUACCGCAUAACAUCUUCGGAGUGCGAAUUCUGUGGAUCAAA